UACGAAGGGUGCAAGCGUUACUCGGAAUUACUGGGCGUAAAGGGUGCGUAGGUGGUCGUUUAAGUCCGUUGUGAAAUCCCUGGGCUCAACCUGGGAAUGGCAGUGGAUACUGGACGGCUAGAAUGCGGUAGAGGGUAGUGGAAUUCCCGGUGUAGCAGUGAAAUGCGUAGAGAUCGGGAGGAACACCAGUGGCGAAAGCGGCUCACUGGACCACAACUGACGCUGAGGCGCGAAAGCUAGGGGAGCAAACAGG
rnacentral:rRNA from 1 species